rnacentral:rRNA from 1 species
AUUGAACGCUGGCGGCAGGCUUAACACAUGCAAGUCGAGCGGUAGCACAGGGGAGCUUGCUCCCUGGGUGACGAGCGGCGGACGGGUGAGUAAUGUCUGGGAAACUGCCUGAUGGAGGGGGAUAACUACUGGAAACGGUAGCUAAUAACGCAUAACGUCGCAAGACCAAAGAGGGGGACCUUCGGGCCUCUUGCCAUCAGAUGUGCCCAGAUGGGAUUAGCUAGUAGGUGGGGUAAUGGCUCACCUAGGCGACGAUCCCUAGCUGGUCUGAGAGGAUGACCAGCCACACUGGAACUGAGACACGGUCCAGACUCCUACGGGAGGCAGCAGUGGGGAAUAUUGCACAAUGGGCGCAAGCCUGAUGCAGCCAUGCCGCGUGUGUGAAGAAGGCCUUCGGGUUGUAAAGCACUUUCAGCGAGGAGGAAGGUGGUGAGCUUAAUACGUUCAUCAAUUGACGUUACUCGCAGAAGAAGCACCGGCUAACUCCGUG